UGGAAGCAGAUAUAAAAUGUGAGUACACUCU
rnacentral:piRNA from 1 species